rfam:Coccidioides immitis H538.4 supercont1.2 genomic scaffold, whole genome shotgun sequence.
AUCCGAGUGCACGGGUCUUACGUUUCCAGUGAAGGUUCGCCUGAGGCAACGUUUUUGCUAGUUGAAAACUACAAACUUAGACCGCUCCAGUUGGUCUUCGGAUCGGCUGGGAAUUUUUGAAAAAAUUUAUCUUUAAAUC